UACGAAGGGGGCUAGCGUUGCUCGGAAUUACUGGGCGUAAAGGGCGCGUAGGCGGACAGUUAAGUCAGAGGUGAAAGUCCAGGGCUCAACCCUGGAAUAGCCUUUGAUACUGGCUGUCUUGAGUGCGGGAGAGGUGUGUGGAACUCCGAGUGUAGAGGUGAAAUUCGUAGAUAUUCGGAAGAACACCAGUGGCGAAGGCGACUCACUGGACACAUAUUGACGCUGAGGUGCGAAAGCGUGGGGAGCAAACAGG
rnacentral:rRNA from 1 species